AACUGCAUUCAACUACAGCAUUACAAGUCUCCAAUAAUGGAUAGAGAAACUUUCUCUGCCCAUCCAAAGCUGCAUUUGCAAAGGCAACUCUGUUUUUUUCCUGGCAAAUCUGAUCUGCAUU